UACGUAGGAUGCAAGCGUUGUCCGGAAUUAUUGGGCGUAAAGAGCGCGCAGGCGGUAUGACAAGUCAGAUGUGAAAGAGGCCGCUUAACCGGCAAGGGUCAUUUGAAACUGUCAGACUAGAGUGCAGCAGAAGGAUAGUGGAAUUCCCGGUGUAGUGGUGAAAUGCGUAGAUAUCGGGAGGAACACCAGUGACGAAGGCGGCUCACUGGCCCGAUACUGACGCUGAGGCACGAAAGCGUGGGGAGCAAACAGG
rnacentral:rRNA from 1 species